rnacentral:rRNA from 1 species
AUGAUGGCUUCCAAGAUCUCUAAUAUGUUUUCCUCCCCUCGCCGUUCCUUUGGCCCCAUGGAUGACUGGCAUAAGGUGUCAUAUGAGCUUCGUAAAUUCUUAAGGGGUUGGUCUCGGAAUAGGGCAGCCGAGCUCCGUAGGGAAAAAGAGACCCUUGAAUCUCAACUUCGGGACCUGGACCACUCUGCUGACUUGUCUGGGCUCUCCGCUUCUCAAUGGGCUACUCGUUACUCCCUGGAAGAUGCUUUGAUGCUGCUGCACCAGCAGUCGGAAUUUACUAGCGUCAGCGCGGUGCCCUUAAUUGGACCUUGA